UACGUAGGGCGCAAGCGUUAUCCGGAAUUAUUGGGCGUAAAGAGCGUGUAGGCGGCCAGACAGGUCCGUUGUGAAAACUCGAGGCUCAACCUCGAGACGUCGACGGAAACCGUCUGGCUAGAGUCCGGAAGAGGAGUGUGGAAUUCCUGGUGUAGCGGUGAAAUGCGCAGAUAUCAGGAAGAACACCUAUGGCGAAGGCAGCACUCUGGGACGGUACUGACGCUGAGGAGCGAAAGCGUGGGGAGCGAACAGG
rnacentral:rRNA from 1 species